rnacentral:rRNA from 1 species
GACGAACGCUGGCGGCGCGCCUAACACAUGCAAGUCGAACGGAGCAUUUGAGCUUGCUUAAAUGCUUAGUGGCGAACGGGUGAGUAACGCGUGAGCAAUCUGCCUCAGAGUGGGGGACAACAGUUGGAAACGACUGCUAAUACCGCAUAAGCCCACAGAUCCGCAUGGAUCAGCGGGAAAAGAUUUAUUGCUUUGACGAUGAGCUCGCGUCUGAUUAGCUAGUUGGUGAGGUAACGGCCCACCAAGGCGACGAUCAGUAGCCGGACUGAGAGGUUGAACGGCCACAUUGGGACUGAGACACGGGCCCAG